GCUGUAGCUCCAUGGCAGAGCAUCUGUGUUGAAUGCAGAAGGUCCCAGGUUCAAUCCUUGGUGUCUCCA